CUCCAAUCUCUAGUGACUUGUUUUAUAGCAGGAAACAUUAGGACAAAUUUAGGACAUGCAAUAUUUUUCCAGUUUACUUGUAAUACGUAAAUACCACCUAAAUUUCCUAUCUGAAACCAAUUUAAACCCAGUGAAAACUUGAGGCUCUGUACCAUGUGAGUUUUUUCUUGUCAUUUUUAUCAUCACUUUGAAUUUAAAGAUAUA